UUCAUUUUCGCUUCGCAUUUUAUUCAACCCUCUGAUUGGAGCAGGUUUUUAUUGCUUGCCUUUAUCUAUUUUAUUUUCCCGCACUGUCUUUACUUUAUUUAUUUCCCGCACUCGCUUUACUUUAUUUAUUUCUCGCACUCGCUUUACUUUAUUUAUUCUCGCACUCGCUUUACUUUAUUUAUUUCUUGCACUCGCUUUACUUUAUUU
rnacentral:lncRNA from 1 species